rnacentral:rRNA from 1 species
CGUAGGUGGCAAGCGUUGUCCGGAGUUACUGGGUGUAAAGGGCGUGUAGGCGGGAAGAUAAGUCAGAUGUGAAAUUCCAUGGCUCAACUGUGGCACUGCAUCUGAAACUAUUUUUCUUGAGUGAUGGAGAGGAAAGCGGAAUUCCUAGUGUAGCGGUGAAAUGCGUGGAUAUUAGGAGGAACACCAGUGGCGAAGGCGGCUUUCUGGACAUUAACUGACGCUGAGGCGCGAAAGCGUGGGGAGCAAACAGGAUUAGAUACCCUGGUAGUCCACGCUGUAAACGAUGGAUACUAGGUGUAGGAGGUAUCGACCCCUUCUGUGCCGGAGUUAACACAAUAAGUAUCCCACCUGGGGAGUACGGCCGCAAGGUUG